UCCUACGGGGCGCAGCAGUGGGGAAUAUUGCACAAUGGGGGAAACCCUGAUGCAGCGACGCCGCGUGAAGGAAGAAGUAUUUCGGUAUGUAAACUUCUAUCAGCAGGGAAGAAAAUGACGGUACCUGACUAAGAAGCCCCGGCUAACUACGUGCCAGCAGCCGCGGUAAUACGUAGGGGGCAAGCGUUAUCCGGAUUUACUGGGUGUAAAGGGAGCGUAGACGGCAUAGCAAGUCUGAAGUGAAAGCCCGUGGCUCAACCGCGGAACUGCUUUGGAAACUGUUAAGCUGGAGUACUGGAGAGGCA
rnacentral:rRNA from 1 species